CAAUAAAGCCAGAGCUACACACACCCCUUUUUCAGUGAGACCACGUUCACUAAGGCUACAGAGCAGUUGCAGCACACUGAAGCCCCCCUUUUCUGAUUUCCUGCACACACUCGAGACACUUUUUAAACCGUCCAACUCAAGACCCAGGACGUCCCAUCUGCAGAUAGGCGGAGGACAGGAACAGGACAGGACAAGCACCCUAGACACCACGCAGCAGCACCAUCACAGAUAUGUCGGACUCCGAGACCGCCGCCGCCCCCGCUGAGGCAACCGUCCCUGCUGCUUGUGCCAGCAUCAAGGCUGACCUGGACAAAUGUGUGGCAGAGAAGGGAGCAGAGGGCUGCAAAGAUCUGAUUGAGGCCUUUGCUGCUUGUGUGAAGAGUGCAGCUGAAGGGACGUCAUGAGGAGUCCCCCCUCCAACCUCGAAUGUCCACUGCACUGAGUCCUCCCAAGUUCCCAGCAUUCCCUUCUUCACAACAGCACUCGACUGAAUGAAGACAAUGAAGACGAUGAAGAUGAUGAUCAUGGCGUGACAAAUAUUGUGUUGAUUUGGGAUGUGGUGGCAGUAACUACAGUUUCCUCCCCCUACCUGUUAAAGUGGCUAUUCUGGUGUCCCUCAGUCUUACCGUCAUUCCCCUUCUCCCUCUGCGGCUGACAUGCAGCACAUCAACUUGUUGACAAUUCCAGAGAGCUGAGCUGUAAUGUAUAUUGUCGACUCGAGAUGAAUACUUAUAAAUGGAAAUAAAAGUAUCAAAAUAUUGGU